UCAAGUUUUUAAGAGCACACGGUGGAUGCCUUGGCAUUAGGAGCCGAAGAAGGACGUAGGAAUCUGCGAUAAGCCUGGGGGAGUCGAUAACCGGACUGUGAUCCCAGGGUGUCCGAAUGGGGAAACCCCGCCAGGGGCGCGAGUUACCUGGUGACCCGCAUCUGAACACAUAGGGUGCGUGGAGGGAACGCGGGGAAGUGAAACAUCUCAGUACCCGCAGGAAGAGAAAACAAUAGUGAUUCCGUCAGUAGUGGCGAGCGAACGCGGAUCAGGCUAAACCGUUCCAUGUGUGAUAGCCGGCGGGCGUUGCAUGGUCGGGGUUGUGGGACUUCCCAUUCUGUCUCUGCCGGGGCAGUGGGGUGAGUAGUGCAGGCAUAGGUGAACGGUCUUGAAAGGCCGGCCAGAGAGGGUGUGAGCCCCGUAACCGAAAUGUUGUGUACCGCCUGGUGAAGUAUCCCAAGUAGCACGGGGCCCGAGAAAUCCCGUGUGAAUCUGUCAGGACCACCUGAUAAGCCUAAAUACUCCCUAAUGACCGAUAGCGGACCAGUACCGUGAGGGAAAGGUGAAAAGUACCCCGGGAGGGGAGUGAAACAGUACCUGAAACCGUGUGCUUACAAUCCGUCGGAGCCUCCGCAGCUUGCUGUGUUGUGGUGACGGCGUGCCUUUUGAAGAAUGAGCCUGCGAGUUAGUGUUACGUCGCGAGGUUAACCCGUGUGGGGAAGCCGUAGCGAAAGCGAGUCUGAACAGGGCGUUGCAGUGGCGUGAUCUAGACCCGAAGCGAAGUGAUCUACCCAUGGCCAGGUUGAAGCGACGGUAAGACGUCGUGGAGGACCGAACCCACUUCAGUUGAAAAUGGAGGGGAUGAGCUGUGGGUAGGGGUGAAAGGCCAAUCAAACUUCGUGAUAGCUGGUUCUCCCCGAAAUGCAUUUAGGUGCAGCGUUGCGUGUUUCUUACCGGAGGUAGAGCUACUGGAUGGCUAAUGGGCCCUACAAGGUUACUGACGUCAGCCAAACUCCGAAUGCCGGUAAGUGAGAGCGCAGCAGUGAGACUGUGGGGGAUAAGCUUCAUAGUCGAGAGGGAAACAGCCCAGACCACCAACUAAGGCCCCUAAGCGUGUGCUAAGUGGGAAAGGAUGUGGAGUUGCGAAGACAACCAGGAGGUUGGCUUAGAAGCAGCCAUCCUUAAAAGAGUGCGUAAUAGCUCACUGGUCAAGUGAUUCCGCGCCGACAAUGUAGCGGGGCUCAAGUACACCGCCGAAGUUGUGGAUUUCAGAUGAUAGCCAAGCCGCUCCCUUUGUGGGGUUGGUUCAGGCGUCUGGAGUGGUAGGGGAGCGUCGUGUGGGCAGUGAAGUCGCGGUGUAAACCAGCGGUGGAGCCUACACGAGUGAGAAUGCAGGCAUGAGUAGCGAAAGACGGGUGAGAAACCCGUCCGCCGAAUGAUCAAGGGUUCCAGGGUCAAGCUAAUCUGCCCUGGGUAAGUCGGGACCUAAGGCGAGGCCGACAGGCGUAGUCGAUGGACAACGGGUUGAUAUUCCCGUACCGGCGAAAAACCGCCCAUGCUGAACAGGGGACACUAACCGCCCGAGACCUGCCCGACACCCCUUGUGGGUGAAGGGUUUUGGUGGAGCGCGGGACCUGAUCCUGGGAGGCAAGCGUAUUAACAGGUGUGACGCAGGAAGGUAGCCGAGCCGGGCGAUGGUUGUCCCGGUCUAAGGAUGUAGGGCGAACGGUAGGCAAAUCCGCCGUUCAUGAUGCCUGAGACCCGAUGGGACCCCCGCAAGGGGGGAUUUGGUGAUCCUAUGCUGCCGAGAAAAGCAUCGACGCGAGGUUUUAGCCGCCCGUACCCCAAACCGACACAGGUGAUCAGGUAGAGAAUACUAAGGCGAUCGAGAGAAUUAUGGUUAAGGAACUCGGCAAAAUGCCCCCGUAACUUCGGGAGAAGGGGGGCCCCCAUCGUGAUGGACACUAGCUGUCCGGAGCGUGCAGGGGCCGCAGAGACCAGGGGGAAGCGACUGUUUACUAAAAACACAGGUCCGUGCGAAGUCGCAAGACGAUGUAUACGGACUGACUCCUGCCCGGUGCUGGAAGGUUAAGAGGACCGGUUAGCCGCAAGGCGAAGCUGAGAAUUUAAGCCCCAGUAAACGGCGGUGGUAACUAUAACCAUCCUAAGGUAGCGAAAUUCCUUGUCGGGUAAGUUCCG
rnacentral:rRNA from 1 species